rnacentral:lncRNA from 1 species
UUUGAUUGUUCUAAAGCAAUCUUUACCCUUCAGUGCUCACAUGCAUUUUUAGUAGGAAGUCAUGAUAUUUUAUUACAGAAAAUGUUAGUUAAAUGGGGAGCGUUAUUGUUUGUGAGAUAUUAUUUUUUUUGGACUUCAUGGGAAGGGAAAAACCAUGAAUUCAAAUGUUCAGCCAAGAACAUAUUUCCUAUAAACUGGCAUGCAUAAUUGUGAAACCACAAAAUUAAACCUUAUUCCAUUAAACUUGGUAGUUGGUACAUGUACUCAAUCUUUCUCCCAGGUAUCAUCUGUGUAAAAGUUAAAAGUUGUAAUGUAAUUGCCGAUAAAGCAACCAUCUUCAAGAGAACAAAGGAUGUGUAUGUAAACAACAAUAGGUCACCUUAUGGUCUUUGACAAUGAGUAUAAUCCAUACCAUCUAGCUAGCUUUUAAGGUAACCGUAUCAAGAAAUGUGAAACAAUUCAAAUGAGAAAACCAGCAGCAUGAUGUAUGUACAAAAUAAUUUAAAAAAACAGACCGCAACCAACAACAGACAUUGAAUUCAGUGCACACAACAGUUUAUUUGGAUGAGUUAGAUGCUUGUGGUCAGUUUUAUCUGUUAUACUGUCAAAUAUUUUGAAAUUCUGUUUUCUUUUUUAUGUAAUAUUCAUUUGCCUUAGUCUUUGUGCUUCCAAUAUAUUUCAAAUUUUUUCACCAACAAAAUGGCUUUUUUAAUUGCAGCUGCUUUUUAAAUUAUUCAAUUAAUUUAAUAUCUUUUAGUGUAUGUUCAAUUUCAGUAUCAUUAGCAAUGUUGCAAAAAUGAUGUAUCAAAUUUGGAUUUAUGAACAGUUUUAUCUGCUCCUAAUCAUUCUUAUACUGAAGCAUUAUGAUUUAAUUUCUCAAAAGGAACAUUUU